CAACCCUUAUCCUUUGUUGCCAGCGAUUCGGUCGGGAACUCAAAGGAGACUGCCGGUGAUAAACCGGAGGAAGGUGGGGAUGACGUCAAGUCAUCAUGGCCCUUACGAGUAGGGCUACACACGUGCUACAAUGGCGUAUACAAAGAGAAGCGACCUCGCGAGAGCAAGCGGAACUCAUAAAGUACGUCGUAGUCCGGAUUGGAGUCUGCAACUCGACUCCAUGAAGUCGGAAUCGCUAGUAAUCGUAGAUCAGAAUGCUACGGUGAAUACGUUCCCGGGCCUUGUACACACCCCCCGUCUCUCCAUGGGAGUGGGUUGCAAAAGAAGU
rnacentral:rRNA from 1 species